rnacentral:lncRNA from 1 species
UUUUGAACAAAGUGUUUGAAUGAUUUUAUGCAAUUUUUCAUGAAAAUGAAUGCCUUGGGAACAAGCUUUUGAGAAAAGGUUUAUGUUAUGAAAUGUGGUUAUUAUGGAUUUCUAUGUGGCUGCAUUAUGUUGAUAUACAUAUAUGCUUGAAUAUAAUGUUGUGUAAUUAUGUUGACUCGGCUAUGUGCGAGUAGGGAGUGCGCAUAAGCCGAGGAUGACCCGGUUAUGUGCGAGUAGGGAGUGCGCAUAAUCCGGUGAUGACCCAGCCAUGUGCGAGUAGGGAGUGCGCAUGAGCUGGUGAUGAUGAUGAUGAGCUGGUGAUGAUGAUGAUGGGUUGGUGAGAUGAUGAUGAUGGGUAUAUACGUAUAUAUAUAUAUAUAUAUAUAAAUGUGUGUGAUAUAGCAAAUUGAUGGACAAUGAUUUAUGGUUGUAAUGUACGUGAAAUUUGACACAUUAUACUUUGAGAAUUUUCAUGAAUGUUAGGUUGAUUUUAUUAGUUUAGCAGGAUGGCUUUUGUUGAGUGAGGAAAAAUGUUUCUCUUGUUGCUUUGUUUUCACUGCAUCGAAAUUCAUGCUCGCUGUAGCGAAAAACUCUGGGGUUUGGAGGGGUUUUAAAUAGGAAUGAACUAAAUUGCAUUGUUUGAAACAAGUGCAUCAUGAUUUUAAAUUUUUCCUAAUUGUUGCUUGUUCCCUUCCUUGUUCACUCACUGGG